ACAGCCUUGCUGUGCCACGAAAACCAAAACAAAAACAAACGAACAAUGGACCGUGCCAAGAAUACCAAAAAAUAAACAAAGUCACCUUCAUCGGAGUGACAGAGUCAGAUAUAGCGAUUUUGACAACCACACCACUACAUACUAAAUCGCGAGUACCUUAGGUAGAAAUCCAUGGAUGGAAGCUGACAUUGGUUGCUGACAGCCUUGGCUGGAAACUAUAGACAGAAUUUAAGUAGUGUCAGACUUUUAUAACUUCUUUUAACAACAUUUUAUUGGGAAAAAGUAUCGAAACAACUAAACAAGAAGAAAAUGCUAGUGCCUUUGCAAGUGUUUGAACAUGAUGUGUAUUCAUUCUACUAUGGAUACAGAGUACAAUAAAUUUAAAACUUUGAGAAAUUAAAAAAA